CAUGCAGUCGAGCGCAGUCCUUCGGGACCGAGCGGCGGACGGGUUAGUAACGCGUGGGAACAUACCCUUUUCUACGGAAUAGCCUCGGGAAACUGAGAGUAAUACCGUAUAAGCCCUUCGGGGGAAAGAUUUAUCGGGAAAGGAUUGGCCCGCGUUAGAUUAGAUAGUUGGUGGGGUAAUGGCCUACCAAGUCUACGAUCUAUAGCUGGUUUUAGAGGAUGAUCAGCAACACUGGGACUGAGACACGGCCCAGACUCCUACGGGAGGCAGCAGUGGGGAAUCUUAGACAAUGGGCGCAAGCCUGAUCUAGCCAUGCCGCGUGUGUGAUGAAGGUCUUAGGAUCGUAAAGCACUUUCGCCAGGGAUGAUAAUGACAGUACCUGGUAAAGAAACCCCGGCUAACUCCGUGCCAGCAGCCGCGGUAAUACGGAGGGGGUUAGCGUUGUUCGGAAUUACUGGGCGUAAAGCGUACGUAGGCGGAUCAGAAAGUUAGGGGUGAAAUCCCGAGGCUCAACCUCGGAACUGCCUCUAAAACUCCUGGUCUUGAGUUCGAGAGAGGUGAGUGGAAUUCCAAGUGUAGAGGUGAAAUUCGUAGAUAUUUGGAGGAACACCAGUGGCGAAGGCGGCUCACUGGCUCGAUACUGACGCUGAGGUACGAAAGUGUGGGGAGCAAACAGGAUUAGAUACCCUGGUAGUCCACACCGUAAACGAUGAAUGCCCAGUCGUCGGGCAGUAUACUGUUCGGUGACACACCUAACGGAUUAAGCAUCCCGCCUGGGGAGUACGGU
rnacentral:rRNA from 1 species